UAUUCAAGCUGGGUUGGUCGAUGCUGGACUCUUAACUCUUACUGAAAGAGAGACAGACACUCUACUUUAUAUAGACAAAAGGGAUGUAACUUUGCAUAGACCUGAGAGUUAACCCCAUGGAGAUGCAAAUAUAUUCUGUGUACCAAGAGCCAAYGUCUCCUCCCAUUACAAUAGUCUGCUAUAAUAACUGAACCCCUGAGACCAUCUCCCUCAKUCACAACUGUCACUUUCAGUCUCCUCCUUUGUUUCAAAAAUCUUACAACCUCCCCACAAUGAGAGUUCUAGAAUGUGUGUUCCUCCUGGCUCUCAUUUCAGCUGUUCAGGGACAGUCACUCACCUCCUCUGAGUCAGUGGUGAAGAGCCCUGGAGAGUCAGUAACACUGUCCUGUACUGUGUCUGGUUUCUCCAUGGGUAGCUACAACAUGCACUGGAUUCGUCAGAAACCAGGGAAAGGUCUAGAGUGGAUUGGAUACAUUGACACUGGAACCACAGCUUAUUAUGCCCAGUCUCUCCAGGGCCAGUUCACCAUAACUAAAGAGAACUCCAAAAACCAGCUGUACUUAAAUGCGAAAAGCCUGAAGACUGAAGACUCUGCUGUUUAUUAUUGUGCCAGAGACACAGUGACUCAGUAGGCUACAGCGUCAUAC